GAAGCCCUCGCUCACACCUGGAGCAGCCGCCCUUCGCCCCAACUAGAGAAAGCCCGUGUGUGGCAACAGAGCCAGCGCGGCCAAGGAUAAACAACGCAUCUUGAAAAAAAGAUAAGAAGGAUCAACUGGAAAAAAUGAUUUUGAGCCGACUCACAAAAUUCUCAGUUUUUCACAGGUGUAGCUCAGCAACCAUUUUAUAGAAUCCUUGUGAGGACUGCACGAGAUGACACGCGGAGCCCAGUCUGAGAACAUGGAGUCAGCUAAAUCUGCUUGCACCCAGAAGAGAAACCAGCAUUGUUGAGGGGACAGGAAAUUGAACUCCUAUGUCG